rnacentral:misc_RNA from 1 species
UAAAAUUUCUAUGGAAAGAAAGAUUAUUAUUUUUCCUUAUAAUUUUUUUUCAUAAGAAAAGAAAAGGAAAGGAAGUGAUUUGUAUAAUUUUUCAUGUUUUGAUGGAAAGAAAAGCGAUGAAAGAAAAUUAUUACAUUUUUACUAUUAUGCUCAUAUUAAAUGAAUAAAAUUAUAUUUAAAAAUAACUAUUGGAGGAAAAAA